rnacentral:pre_miRNA from 14 species
AGACUCGGAAAGUCGCAUGGGACUCGGCAGAAGCACUUGGGGUAUACUUCACAGAGUAACUAUACCCGUAUUUGUUUCUGCUGAGCCCCUGACACCAGU